ACUUUUGCCUUAGAAUUAUAUUAAUGACUGUCUGGUAACUAUAUAUAAGACAUGCAAGAAUGUGAAAUAUAAAAACUUAUUUGGCCUUCAAUAUCUCAACCUUUUGAAUGUAUGUAACUUCUUUGUUCAGUUAUAUUUCGAAUUUGACAUUGUUUUUACAAACUACCAUUAUAAAUUUCCGGGAAAUGUUCUGCAUAAAACCCUUUGGGAAAGCACAUUGACGUAAUUUUCCAAACAUUUAUUGUAGCCCAAUAAUUUUAUAAGGUGUUGCAACAUGUAAUUGUAAAGACGUUACAGCCGAUUCAGUGAGUGUGUAGGCAAAUGUGGUAUUAUUGGUUAGAUUGCUUGCUACAUUGUAGCUGUAUGGUGAAGUCAUUAUUAGGUUAGGCAAACUACCCUCCAUUAAGAGUAGACUGGUCCGACAUAUAACCAAUUAAACUGCCUGUAGGACUAGGCUACUUCCACAGAAGGGUAGUAUACCUUACCUAAAAAUGACUUCACGGUUUAACAAGAAAGGUAACCAAUGAUAUUACCUUUGUCUACACACUCAAUGCAAUCGGCUGCAAUGAAAAUGCGGAGUUUGUAAGACUAGGCUUAACCAGCCCGUCGGCAGGAUCCAGCUUUCAAAGAUAUAUAAACACAAAUUUUGCAUAAGACUCAAACGUACUUCAAAUGUUUUUAUUAAUAAAUAACCACUAUAUCACCAGUUAAGUAGUCAAAGACACCAUUUAAUAUUUUUUUUUAAAAUUUCAUUUAUGGUUCAUUAGUUAUAUACAGGUAAUAUAAACCGCUUUCAGUAUUUUAUACAGCGUGCAGCACGCUUUAUAUUUUAAAGAGUCAACAAUUUUGUGUGUUUACAGAAUCGUAAAUAGUUAUGAUUAUUUUUAAAAGAUGACAAAUUGCUCUAUUCUAUGAAAUAUAUAGCUUUCGGAAAUUCCAUAUUCUCGGCAUCCUGUAAAAUAGUUCAUGAACAGUAAUAAUUGUUCUGCAUUAAAAGAAAAGAAAGUUGCACUCUUGAUUUUAACUUUUUUUUGGCCACACAAAACUGAUUUUACAAAACAUUCUACCUCGGAAAUAAUGGAUUUCGCUUGAUUAUGAUUAGACCAAAGGUUUAUAUUUUGUAAUCACUUGUAUGGUGGGCAAGGAAAUUAUUCAUUAGCUUAAAAAGAAUAAUCCUAGCUAUAUCCAAACUUGUAAUUUUGAUCAAGUAGGCCCUAUAUCUCUAGCUUACGUUUUUGCCUAGUGCAGAUAAAAGUAUUUUGCCGCAGAAUUGUUUUUAUUAACUAUCCGGUAAUGGUUGGGUUUGGUAUCCGACAUCAAGUUGAGAACUACUUUAGAAGAAAAAAUUAAGCAGAACAACACCCUGGAUUUUUUCUACUGUAAACCUCUGCUAUCAAGCUUCCCUUUGCACCUAUAGUCGUGCAACUGACAUCGAAAAAGACGCUUAGUUAACGAGUUUAAUGGUCCGGAAUAACACACAGCUGUAAAUUGUUUUAAAUGAUAGAAUAAUAUCUAUAUUUUAAUUUCCGUCGGGUCGUAAAAAGUUUCCAUGGUCACAUUUUUGUAUUUUAUCCCUUUAAUGGGGGUACCCCUCAAUUUACGGUUUUGAGUAGUUGCCUUAAAAUCCAAAAAUAUUUUUUUUUGUUAAAUUUCCCGCUAUUUUCGUAAAUAUUUUCUAUGCACAUAUCAUCAAGGAUCAUCGGAAUGAUAAAGACAUAAAUAUAAUACCAUCCCCAAGUAAAACUUUCAGACUUAAAGUUGGCUGUUUUUUAGAUAGAAAUGUAACGCUCCUUUUCUUUGAAAACGAGAAAACAUAUGAUUCAAAAACAGUAUUUGACAUUUUAGAGGACAAAACAUAUUAUUGCGAUACUGCAUGCAAAUUUUGUUGGGCAAAUUCCAAACAAUUUUGUCAAAAACUCAAAAAUAAAAACAUCAUUUGUACCUUUUUUAAUUACGAAACUUGUCUAUCCGUCAAUCAGCUCCACAAUUUAUUUUUUCCUUCACAAUCAAUUUGAUAGUUUCGAUGUGAUUAUGAAGAUUUUGUAGGAUAAGUUUAUUUAUUUUUGAGUGAUUUGAAUAUAUAUAGUAGUUCUUUCGUGUAUUUUCUGUAAAUAAGUUAUAUUUGUGUUAAUAAAAUUUUGACUUUUCAUAAAAGUUAACCAAAUCCUUCGGAUAAGGGUUUUUCAGGAUGAUGACUAUAGUUGAUAUUGUGUGAAAAUACAUUGUAUGUAAAUGUUUAACCUCAGAGCAAUAAAUAUGCAUGCAAGUGAUCGGGGGAAAAGUACUAUUGCAGUUUCGCAGAGAUUUGGUGUGUGACAAGGUGAUGCUAAAACCAACUUCUCUUGAUAUUCUGCUGUCCUUGGGCGAAUCAUCAGUGAUGUUAUGAGACUUGCACAAGAAGGCAAAAUUGGUGCGUCUUUAAAUUAGAUUGAUUGAUUGAUUGUUGGUUGCUUAACGUCCAGUGGCAAAUAUUUCGUGCAUCUUCAGGACGAGAACAAGUUAAUAAUAAAAACAAUAGGUAGGUUUUGUCAUAAUAGAGGUCAUUCGGGAAUUGGUCGGGAAAAUUUAGACUGCCACUGGAAAAUGAUGGUAUAUUGGAUUGGGACAGAAUUUGCCGUUGCAACAGGCCACCUACGGACCCCUCAAAGAGUUGUUGCAAGGGUUUUUAACGUGCAGAGAACGUGGCACUCCCUUUACACGAGGCAUCGGAUUAAACGUCCCCAUUCUGACCGGACGUGACUGCGAACUUGAUACAUCCCGCACAGCCAAACGGUCGUCCCACUUCGUUUAACUGCCG
rnacentral:lncRNA from 1 species